rnacentral:rRNA from 1 species
CACGUAGGGGCCAAGCGUUGUCCGGAAUCACUGGGCUUAAAGGGCGCGUAGGCGGGUGCUCAAGUCCGUGGUGAAAUCCUCCGGCUCAACCGGAGAACUGCCUCGGAUACUGGGCGUCUCGAGUGUGGUAGGGGUAUGCGGAACUAUCGGUGGAGCGGUGAAAUGCGUUGAUAUCGAUAGGAACUCCGGUGGCGAAGGCGGCAUACUGGACCACCACUGACGCUGAUGCGCGAAAGCCAGGGGAGCAAACGGG